rnacentral:rRNA from 1 species
GCUAGCGGGAGGCUUAAUACAUGCAAGUCGAACGGCAGCAUUAUUAAAUUUAUUUAGUAGAUGGCGAGCGGCGCACGGGUGAGUAACGCGUACACAACCUGCCCUUGAGUGGGGUAUAGCCCUGGGAAACUGGGAAUAAUACCGCAUAAUAUUACUGAAUCGCAUGGUUUGGUAAUUAAAGCUUCGGCGCUUAAGGAUGGGUGUGCGUUCCAUUAGCUAGUUGGUGAGGUAACGGCUCACCAAGGCGACGAUGGGUAGGG